UGCAAGUAGAACGCUGAAGACUGGUGCUUGCACUAGUCAGAUGAGUUGCGAACGGGUGAGUAACGCGUAGGUAACCUACCUUAUAGCGGGGGAUAACUAUUGGAAACGAUAGCUAAUACCGCAUGACAAUUAAGUACUCAUGUACUAAAUUUAAAAGGAGCAAUUGCUUCACUAUGAGAUGGACCUGCGUUGUAUUAGCUAGUUGGUGAGGUAACGGCUCACCAAGGCCACGAUACAUAGCCGACCUGAGAGGGUGAUCGGCCACACUGGGACUGAGACACGGCCCAGACUCCUACGGGAGGCAGCAGUAGGGAAUCUUCGGCAAUGGGGGCAACCCUGACCGAGCAACGCCGCGUGAGUGAAGAAGGUUUUCGGAUCGUAAAGCUCUGUUGUUAGAGAAGAACGGUAAUGGGAGUGGAAAAUCCAUUACGUGACGGUAACUAACCAGAAAGGGACGGCUAACUACGUGCCAGCAGCCGCGGUAAUACGUAGGUCUCGAGCGUUGUCCGGAUUUAUUGGGCGUAAAGCGAGCGCAGGCGGUUAUUUAAGUCUGAAGUUAAAGGCCGUGGCUCAACCAUGGUUCGCUUUGGAAACUGGAUAACUUGAGUGCAGAAGGGGAGAGUGGAAUUCCAUGUGUAGCGGUGAAAUGCGUAGAUAUAUGGAGGAACACCGGUGGCGAAAGCGGCUCUCUGGUCUGUAACUGACGCUGAGGCUCGAAAGCGUGGGGAGCAAA
rnacentral:rRNA from 1 species